GUGUCCGUAAUAACUGAAAAGAGAAGGGGUGGUGCAUUGAAUAACAGGGUGUGGCACCAGAUCACAAAGCGGUCCGGAGAAUGUAGACUGCACCGCUCCUGUAUGUUUUUGCAGGUUUGCAACGUUUAAAAGUUCAGGGGAAAGUAUAUGCCUGUCUUCUGGGGUUGCUUAAAACAACAGCCUUUUGAGGGAGUGUUGUUUCUGAAUAUUAGUGUUGAGGGCCAAUAAUGCUUACUAUCAUACAUUAUUCACCAUGUCUGUGGACACAUUUGUAAGCAGUCACAUGUUAAUAUAUCCCCCCCCCCCCCCCCGUGAUAAUAUCUCACUCUGAACUCAGUUCAAAACUUGAGAGCCCUGUUUCCGUUGACUCCCGAGCUGCCCUAGCCCAAGCUAAAUCGUACAAUGAAUGGUUUAUUCUAUAUGAUUUGUAUUCUGUCAAUUUCUCUCGCACCACCCGUAUCAGGAAACAUUUGCCUUGGAACCCCUUUGGUAAUAACUAUACAAUGUAAAAACAUUUCAACCGGAGAUGGAUAUUAUGAAUACCCCUGGUCUCUGCCUCCGGGUAAAGUGUGUAAAGAUCUUGAAGUCUACGCCGACAAUCAGCCGAUACUACUGGCCCAACAUCCUAACGCAACACUCCCUAAACUAACACAGUGUCGAAACCUGACUGUGAGAUGCAUCUACGAAAUGAAUGGCACUGUAAAUGUGGAUGAGAUGUGCAGGGAAUUUGUCACCGAUUCAGAUGCUUCCUCUUUAUCAGAGCCAGAAAGACCUAAACAACAGUUAAACAACACAAGUGAACAGACUGACGUGGACUCAGUGAAAAAUGAACCAUCACCCAUGGAUCAAAGUACCCAGCCAGUGGCGUUUUGGAUUACUGUUGUUGGGCCGGUGGUGGCGGUGGCGGUGGUGUUGGCGGUGGUGGGCGCAGCGUGGUGGUGUGUACGAAAAAAGAAACCGAUGCCAACCCAGAACCAAGGACUGGAGUUAACUGAAAUGAACAGACCCGACGAUGGUGAUCAGACACCAUCAGGACAUGGGUAUGUGACCAGCAGGAGCCAUAUAUUGCACUUUGUAAAAUUGGCUAAACUAUGAUUAUUUCAAUGGUUAAGAUGUAAGAGAGUUUUCAAUGAUAAAGAUUCAAUCUUAUCUUCUUGAUGAAAUAGUUAAUUUCUUCUAGUGUUCUGGAUCAAAGCAGUGCGUUCCUAACUACUGACAAUAAAUUGUUGGAAUGGUAACGCCAUUUUGAACCACAGGGCAAUGGGGAGGAAAGACUGAAGGGUUUCAAAGCGAUUUAUUACAUGUAUUUGGAUAUCUUUUUGUCACGGUUAGCGGGUGGCAGGCAGGCAGGUAGGACCCAAAUGCAGACAGUUCGAGUAAAAGGAUAAUUUAUUAACUCAAAAAGGCAAGGAACACGGGUGACGCAGGUAACACAGGGAACACCGGGAACACAGAUAACACACAGGACAGAACUCACCACAAACUAAAAUGAUCCGACCAGGAACAAAGGAAAGACAAGGGCUUAAAUACCAAACGCACACACAGGGCACGCAACGAGUAACAGCUGAGACACAUUAGGGAGGGAGCAGUAAUCACACAGGAGGGAUACCUGACAUGGGGAGAAACAAGACCGAUAGCAAAGUAAAACAGGUAACACACCAAAACAAGACAAGGAAACAGACAGACCAUGACACUUUUUUGUUUAUGUAUGUGUUUAUUACGUUAACUGCAUAAUUGUGCAUUAGAAGUAUAGCAGUAAAGUAGUAGUAGAAGUAGUAGUUAUACUAGAGUACUGUUAGCAACAAGCACGAUAUUCAAGAUAGUCUAGUCCGGCCAAAUUGACUGGGUUCGCACCCCAAUGUCUGCUGAUGUCUAGCCCCUACCUGCCCCUUAAUGACAUGUAUCUGUAGUCAAUAUUGGAUGCAUCUGCUAAACAACUAAAUGCUAAACCAUAGUAGCAGAAAAUUACACUUUAGCUCGUGUUCAAUUUUCAAUAAUAGCAGAUUCUGUGGCAUACAACAAAUUAUGAUAAUAUAAUAUAUUGAUCAAAUUUAAAUGUAUUAAUUGAGAGAUGGGAGACACGGGGGCUCCCACUCUUCCAGUAGGGCAUACUGUGACAGGGUGUCCGCGGAGGUCUUAAAAGUCUUAAAAAGUCUUAAAUUCAUUUUUCUAAAUUUAAGGCCUUAAAAAGUCUUAAAUUCGUCAAAAAUGUCAUAUGCUGGUCUUAAAUGUAUAACUCGGAGGUCUUAAAUUUGUCGGGGCAGGGUUAUUUAAUUUUUUAUUUUUCUCGCGGGACUUUUCGGGAAGGAGAUGUACGAGGGGCUACUUUCUUGCUAGCUGCAUAUAAACGGAUGUCUGCGCGCUUGCUAGCUAGUCUGCAACAAUGGGUAAAUGCAAGUUCAACGUCAGUUGGCUGGAAGACGUCCGUUUCCGAGGUUGGCUAGCGUCCGUUGCCAACCCAGAACAGGCCAGAUGCAUUCCGUGCAAAAGUAGCCUACAUUCAAGCUCGGCACCAUGGGGAUUAAGGCUGUCGUCAGCCAUAUGCAGAGCCAAAAACAUAAAACCUCUGCCAGGAGCCACACACAGACCCCAGCCAUUUCUACGUUUUGCAUCUCUGCCCCGGCGCCACCGCCGCAGACGGUCCGCGCUGCUAGCACUGACCUGAGGGUAGCAUUUGGUGCGACACCAACACUGAAAGCGGAGGUGUUGUGGAUUCUAAACACAGUGGUCAAGCACCAGUCCUACAACUCGAAUGAGGGGAUAGGAGAUCUCUUCGGUUUGAUGUUCCCUGACUCUCAAAUCGCGAGCACCUUUACUGCUGGAAGGGACAAAACGGCGUAUAUAACUCACUUCGGACCAGCGCCUUUCAUCCGAAAUGAGCGAAUCUGCAGCGUCUACAAGGCUUUUGUUUUGAUAUUUGAGACGUUGAACCACGCCACUAAAAGCAAGCAACUUGACGUGCACGUCCGAUAUUGGGUCGGAGAUCGAGUGCAUUCCCGGUACUUGGGCUCGCAAUUCAUGGGGCCCCACAUAUAUGGGGGUAAAAGGGAUGAUGAUACAUAAUAUUUUUUAGACAAUAUGCAGAAUCUUUUCACUUACGAAUUAACACGGUCGGCUAUUUUUGCCAGCACGCCACCCUAGCCAUAUUAUGGGUAACCGUGUUCCCCUUGGCUGUGAUUUGAACUUUGAAUUCCUCGUAGGAGUUCAUAAUAAUACAUUGCUCGCCUUGGAUGAAAUACACCGCUCUUGCGCGAUUUAUUUUGCAUAAGGGUGAGUCAAAUGACGCGAGAAACGCCCCUUUUAUGUGAACGCGCAUUGAACCUAAAGCGGAAAACCUGGUUCAACUAAUUGAAUCUAAAGUGAGCGUCGUGGUACCAUUUAACUGUGAUUGCGAGUUGCGGCUCUGUCGAGCCAGGUUUUCCCAAGAAAGCCUGGGUAUGUUCAACGAGGUUCGUGGUAUACCCCCCAGGUCUUACUGAAGGCAUUUAUUUAAUGGUGAAAAUAUUAUUAAUCAGUGGCGUUAACAGGCGCGUCGUUAGCAAUUGAAAACAUCCGGGGCUUUAGCCCGGGGGGGGAGCACCGUCCUGACUCCUGCGUGCUACAGUAUCUUAAUUAAUUAAAUAAUUAAUUAAUCAAUUAAUGUAUCGAUUAAUUAAUUAAGGGCGCCCCCAACACAUAGGUCGCCUAUGCCGAGUGCCAGGGCAAAAAUAAGACAUUAGAAUAGCCUAUAUAGCCUGCGUGCACCUACCCGAUGUCAAGAAGCCAUCGCUGCUCCGACGGACCUUUCUCCCCCAGCCAGGCAACGGCAAGUAAGUAGUGGUCUGCUUUUAUGUUUCAUUUUUAAGUUAUUACUUAUUUUCAGUGUAGGUUUAAUGUUACAGAUAAAAACAUGCUUUAUAUUUAGUCAGAAUUUCAGAGUUCUAAUGUUUUCCCGGAAUAUGCAUUCCUAAACUGUUCACGUCAAGUUCUCUUUAAGAUCGCAUGAGAUGAUAUGUGCUAUCGCGCGACCUGUAACCAGGAAGUAAACACUCGCUUGCAUGAAAUGAUAUGCGCUAUCGCGCGACGUGUAACCACGUAGAUUUAAAUAAUGAAAGAAUAAUAUGUUACUUUCUGUUACUUGCUUAUGCUGUAUGCAAGUUGUUUAAGAAGCUUAUCUCCAUAUAAAUCUGAGCUGUACAUGAAUCUGUUAAUGAAGUCUCAUUUCGACUCCUUCCUCCACUUCACUAUUCAUGUUCUGUUGCUUGCAGUUAACUACAGCCGCCCUUCCUGGGUAACGCCACCACCAAUCCCUGGUCAUCCAUUGAAGCCAUCUCUCUCACUCUGCACAGUCACACUGUUGCCGCUUCAUUCUCAUUGUCUCAUAAUCUCAUUAUUAUGGCUGCUGUGGAUGCUUUAAAAAAGAAAAAAAAUUCUCUUAGGUAAAAUCAAACCAGUGGGAUGUUAGAUUGAAAACCUCCAAAGCAAUGUAUUAAAAAUCGAAAGACAGUCCUACGUGAAGUUUCUUUUUUGGGGAUUUUCAAAAUGAGGUACCAGAAUGGAUUGUCAACCCACUGUUUCUCAACCCUCUCCGAUUAUUACUAUGAGUAGUAGUAUUGCAUGCAUACAGUACUCACAUCAGCGCCUAUAGAGGCUGCAACCAUUUGCUUCUCAAAAGAUUGUAGUGUUUUAGAAUGAACAACCAGAGGGACAAGACAAGACUAAUUUUGAUUGACAAGUUGGCUAGAUUUAUAUGUGUAUUUAUAUUAUUUUUUUAUUUAUAAGAAUGAAAGAAAUUGUGUAAUGAAAGAAUAAAACAAUGAUUGAUGCAUUUUUGUUUGAAUAACAUCUUGCUCCCGCGGCCAGUGCCAGCGCCGGCAUUGCAAGGGGAGGGAUAUUACGUACAUUUGCAGGAGGCGGGAUAAGUGCGGCCGCUGUCACUCAGAUUUGUUUUGGUUUGACGCAGACAGCAUGGAGGCAGAACAGACCGCAGAAGUCAACGCGAUCGUCUUCAAUGUUGCUGCAACGAUGCAGCAUAUAUUCAGAAGAGCAGCCAGUACUUACGUGUAUGAAAGCAGCUAUAUAUAUAUAUAUAUAUAUAUAUAUAUAUAUAUAUAUAUAUAUAUAUAUAUAUAUAUAUACACACUUUCUUUUUUUUUUUUUACGGCAGAUAUCCGGGGCUGAUCCCAAAAGAUCCGGGGCUAUAGCCCCGAAUGCCCAGGUCUAACGACGCGCCUGGGCGUUAAUAUCGACGGUGCAACCGGUGCAGCUGCCCGGGGGCCCAGACGCUGUCACCCCCCUCUCAACAACUUACAACUUGGGAGCACCAUGAAUACGUGCUGGUGCACCCAAAUUAAAAAUUUAGGCGCACCAGUGCACCCAAGGAAAAAGUUAGUCUGGAGCCCUGGAGUAUCACUUUAUGUUCAAUAAACAGACAGAAAGUCAACUUGAAUGAGUCUCAUUGAGUGACGCACAUGCUUGGGUUGUAAUACAGCGGGAUCCACCCCACCAUCGCGGGUUUAAGGUCUUAAAUUUCAUUCAAGGUGGCAUUAAAAAGGUCUUAAAAAGUCUUAAAUUUGACUUGCUGAAACCUGCAGAUACCCUGUGUGAGCUUUUACUUGUUUCUGUUUGUGCUUCAUGCUGCCUCCAAGGAGACAGUGUGAGGAGUGACUGAGCAGGUACCACUUACCUUUUAAAUUGUGCUAAAAAGUUGUUGAAUGUCGUAAAUUAAGUUCAGACAAUGACCUGGUUAUACUAAGUGUGGUAUUACAACCUUACAACGUCUCCUUCCGUGGUUCAGGGACACGACUGAAGACGGGGCUCUCCCUGAGAAGACAACUGAGAAACCGAAGAGCAAUCACUGUUACGUGGAACUGAUGAGUAAGAACAAACUGGGGACGGGACCGUCACCCUGACAAAUGAUUGGUCCCCUUUGGAAGGACCAAGGCGCCGUUGUCUCACUUCUGGCUGUUGGACAGAUCUGUCUGUUAGUGCUCUGGUGCCUAGUAGUUUGUGGUAGUAUUUGAUGCAGUGGAGAGUCCAGAAUAAUUUAAAAGGGAAGGCGUGGCC
ensembl:lncRNA